rnacentral:rRNA from 1 species
UACGGAGGGGGCAAGCGUUGUUCGGAAUGACUGGGCGUAAAGGGCGCGUAGGCGGCCUGUUAAGUCGAACGUGAAAUCCCCGGGCUCAACCCGGGAACUGCGUCCGAUACUGGCUGGCUUGAAUGCGGGAGAGGGAUGCGGAAUUCCAGGUGUAGCGGUGAAAUGCGUAGAUAUCUGGAGGAACACCGGUGGCGAAGGCGGCAUCCUGGACCGGUAUUGACGCUGAGGCGCGAAAGCCAGGGGAGCAAACGGG